UGACCUCAAAUCAGGUAGGACUACCCGCUGAACUUAAGCAUAUCAAUAAGCGGAGGAAAAGAAACUAACAAGGAUUCCCCUAGUAACUGCGAGUGAAGCGGGAAAA
rnacentral:rRNA from 2 species